GAUUAACGCUGGCGGCGUGCCUAACACAUGCAAGUCGAACGAUGAAACUUAACUGAUUUCUUCGGAAUGAUUUUAAGUGGAUUAGUGGCGGACGGGUGAGUAACGCGUGAGUAACCUGCCUUGGAGAAGGGGAUAGCCUUUGGAAACGAAGAAUAAUACCCUAUGAUAUGAUAAUAUCUCAUGAUAUUAUCAUCAAAGAUUUAUCGCUCUAAGAUGGACUUGCGUCUGAUUAGUUAGUUGGUGAGGUAACAGCUCACCAAGGCAGCGAUCAGUAGCCGGCUUGAGAGAGUGUACGGCCACAUUGGAACUGAGACACGGCCCAGACUCCUACGGAAGGCAGCAGUGGGGAAUUUUGCACAAUGGGGGAAACCCUGAUGCAGCGACGCCGCGUGAUUUAGAAGGCCUUCGGGUUGUAAAAAUCUUUUGUAUGGGAAGAAAAUGACAGUACCAUACGAAUAAGGACCGGCUAAUUACGUG
rnacentral:rRNA from 1 species